rnacentral:lncRNA from 1 species
GCAGGCACCGCGAGGCCUUGCUUCCUCACCUCUCGCCCGCUGUCGGAGCUCCAUGAGUUGAGCUUGACUGUCCGGGGAGUGGAGCCACCUCUAGCAGAUGGGGAAACUGAGGCCUGGAAACAGAGAACGGUGGGACCAAGGUCACAUGAUGGCGGAAGGAGGACAAGGAAGGAGGCUGACUGCGUAUCCAGCACGUGUUCCGUGCCAAGCCUGUGCAGGGGCCAAGGACCGGGGUCUCUGGACAGCGCCGGUUGCUGGGUCCCACGCUGGGCGACAGGGCCUUUGCAAUCAGGCCGACAGGGUUUGAACCCUUGCCGCGGCACUUUCCAGAUGGCCUUGGCCACUGUCCCCUCUCUGACCUUCAGAUGGAGCCCAUGGCACCUCCGGAGGGGGUGUGUGCUUCCAGGACCAAAUCCACUUGUGCGUGGUUAGGCACGAGGUGGGGGGAGGCGGCUCAGCCACCGGGACCUGUCCUGCCUCCACCCUCUGUGCAACCCCUUUCCUUGCCUUUUGUCUCUGUUGCUUUUGGGGGGUGAUUAGCCGCUAGCUCAGCGGCUAGAGGAUUCUCUCCCGGAAAAGGCUCCGGAGUUGAGGCCCAGACCCCCAGGGCAAGACGGAAUCUGCUCCCCAGGGCACUAACUGAGACUCGGUUCCCUCACUGGUAAAAUGAGAAAACUCACUUAUGGUCAGGGGUCCCCGAGUUAAUGCCAGUGAAUUCCUUGGCAGAGCAUCAAGCACUUGGAGAAGCCCCCACCCCCGGUCAUUGUGAUGAUGGUUUGUUUGUUUGUUUGUUUGUUUUGAGACGGAGUCUCGCUCUGUCGCCCAGGCUGGAGUGCAGUGGCGCGAUCUCGGCUCACUGCAAGCUCUGCCUCCCGGGUUCACGCCAUUCAGGUGAUGAUGUUUUUUAUUUAUGUGCCCACCUGCCCCACUCCGUAGGGCCCCUCGAGGCCAGGACUGCACCGUUCAUCUCGGAAUUCGCUUGUUCCUAACUUAGGGGAGUGGCGCCGAGACACCGUGUAGCGCCCAUGCCAAGGAGGAAGCGAGACAGCAGGAGCGGAGGAAAGAACCCCGGGCUGUGUUGAGGAAGCCUCCUACUUUUGCCUGAAGUGAGGUUGUUGUUGUUGUUGUUGUUGUUUUUUCCACGUGCCUUAUUCAUCCACGUAACCUCAGCCUCUAGUGCAGCGUCCUAUUUUUUGGCUUGUAUUAUUAUUUUUAAUUGGCACAUAAUAAUUGUACAUAUUUAUGGGAUGCAGUGUAAUAUUUUAGUACACAUAUACAAUGUGUAUUGGUCAAAUCAGGGUAAUUAGCACAUUCAGGGUUGGAGUUUUUCUGUCAAUACAGAUACUUAUAGAAACUUUUUUUUGUGUGAGAUAGGGUCUUGCUCUCUUGCCCAGGCUGGAGUGCAGUUGCAUGAUCACAGCUCAAGCCAUCCUCCCACCUCAGCCUCCCGAGCAGCUGGGACUACAGGCACAGGCCACCAAACCCGGCGAAUUUUUUAUUUCUUCUAGAUAUAGAGUCUCACUAUGUUGCCCAGGCUGGUGUCAAACUCCUGGGUGCAAGUGGUUCUACCACCUUGGCCUCCCAAAGUGCUGGGAUUACAGGUGGAAGCCACCACGCUUCCCUAAAAAUGCCAGUCAAUAUUAUAUGUCCUGUUUGGCAAUUUAUUGCACCUCAUUAUUUUUCCUGGCUGCGUAGUAUUCCAUUGUGCACAUGUACCUGUAUGUGGUUAUCCAAUCCCCAGAGGAUGGGCACAUAGGUUGUGUCUCGUUUUGUCCUCUGACCUCAGGGCUGCAGAGAACAGGCUGGCCUCAUACAGCAGGCAUCAUUAUUGGUGUCAGUGGGGCCCCUGUUCUGAUAGUCACAGAGAGGCACGGGUGGCUGUGGGAAGCUCUAUCCCCUUUCAUAGGGAAAGGCAGUUUAGGGCUCUGGAAAGCCAGGGCUGGGAGGGAAAUGGCGUCAGGGAAACCAGCAUAGAAGUCCCUAUCUGGCCAUCUUGGCGGAACCCAAAGCCUCGAGUCCACAGUGGGCACCUGACUCAGCAGGGAGGAGGGUGGGAGGCCUAGAGCUUUGUGGCAAGGCAGGCAGGGCUUUCCUUCUUGAUUCCUUCCUUCCUUCCUUCCUUCCUUCCUUCCUUCCUUCCUUCCUUCCUCCCUCCCUCCCUCCCUCCCUUUUCUUUUCUUUUCCUUUUCUUUCUUUCUUCUUUCUUUCUUUUCUUUCUUUCUUUCCUUCUUUCUUUCUUUCUUUCUUUCUUUCUCUCUUUUUCUUUCUCUCUCUCUCUCUUUCUUUCUUUUUUUUCUUUUUUUUUUUUGAGACAGAGUCUUGCUUUGUUAACCCAGGCUGAUGUGUAGUGGUGUGAUCUCGGCUCACUGCACCCUUCACCUCCCAGGUUCAAGCGAUUAUCCGGCCUCAGCCUCCCAAGUAGCUGGGACUACAGGUGUGCACCAGCACAGCCAGAUAAUUUUUGUAUUUUUAGGAGAGAUGGGAUUUCGCCAUGUUGGCCAGGCUGGCCUCAAACUCCUGGCCUCAAGUGAUCCACCCACCUCGGCUCCCAAAGUGCUGGGAUGACAGGUGUGAGCCUCCGCGCGUGGCCUCCUUCUUGAUUCUGUUGUUUGUGCCUCAAAGGGAAUAUUCAGAGUGUGGCUCAUGAAGUCUGGCCAACCUCCAUCGGUUUGCAAGCUCUGGCACCUCGGAGCCUCCGUUUCCCAAUCUAUAAUAAGAGGACAGUAAUGGCACCCACCUCACAGGGCAGCUGUGAGGGCUCCAUGAGGGAGUCCAGGCAAAGCCUUUCAGCGAGUUUCCUGAAAUGCUGUGAGGUCUCAGGGAAGGCUUGCCAUCGUCAUUAUUGUUUCUAACGACAUUUUCAGAAAUCUGAAUGUAAAAAGACCUUCUCUGAGUUGGGUGUCAAAACCAGAAAAAGUCUGUGGUGGGAUGUGUGUGUGUGUGUUUCCUUCUCACACUGUCCCUUGCACGUGGGCCCGGGCCCCUGCCUGGUUCUCUCUUUCUCACUAUCUGGGACCCCCUAGACUAAAUCCAUCUCUCCAAGAAUCACUGUCUUGCCCCCUCUGUCCUUCUGAGACCUGGGUGGCCUGGGGGGAGAAGCGCCCACCCCCCAACCCCGUCCGCACCACCACUUUCCCAUCCAGCCCCACCCUCAGCCUCCUUAAUACAGGCUCACCUGGGGCCUCAGUGCCCAGUCCUCCCAGCGCCCGCCCCAGCUGCACUUGAGUCCUGGAUCUAUCAUCAGCCCUUGCUGUGGGAAGUGGCUUUAACCUCCCUGGGCCUCAGUUUCUCUAUCUGUAAAAUGAGGAGCAUAAUAAAAAGAACAUAAGGUUUUUCUGCCCCCUGCCCACCCCUGCUGAAACAAACAAGCAGACAAGAAAUUCAUAACCCCCCAGAGGCACUUAGAGCCUGGGAGAUUCAGCCGCAAAGGAGUGAUCACAGGGUCACAGGGUCCUGGGAUGCACAAGGCUCCUUCUCUCCCUUUCCUCCAGGAGGAGUUGGAUUUACUUCUGUAAACCCCUGCCCUCCCUUGACCCUGUGCACUCUGGGGAGCACCUAGAUUUGCAGGCACGGUGGAGGCAGAGCUGAGCUGAAAGGUGGGGUGUGGGCUCCCCCAGAGCAAGCUCUUCCGGCACCCUGGUGGGAUGUGCAGCUGCAUUGCUGGCUCAAGACGCCCCCACACCCAACUAGGAUCUUUUUUUUUUGAGACGGAGUUUCUCCCAGGCUGAAGUGCAAUUGGCGCGAUCUCAACUCACCGCAACCUCCGCCUCCCAGGUUCAAGCGAUUCUCCUGCCUCAGCUUUCCAUGUACCUGGGAUUACAGACAUGCACCACCAUGCCUGGCUAAUUUUUGUAUUUUUAGUUAAGACAGGGUUUUGCCGUGUUGGCCAGGCUGGUCUCGAACUCCUGACCUCAGGUAAUCCACCUGCCUCGGCCUCCCAAAGUGCUGGGAUUACAGGCGUGAGCCACCGCGCCUGGCCUCAACUCAGAUCUUUAACUCCACUACCAUUUGUGAGUGUUCCGCGUGGGCUACAUCCUAGGCCAAGGAUUUUCUCACCCUGGCCUCAAGAAGAUGGAACGGGGCAAGACCUGAGAAGCAUGUAGACC